AUUCCAGCUCCAAUAGCGUAUAUUAAAGCUGUUGCGGUAAAAAAGCUCGUAGUUGGAUUUCUGUUGAGGGCGACCGGUCCAUACAACGUAUGCGUAUCUGGCUCGGCCUCGGCAUCCUCUCGAUAGACGUUUCUGCGCUUGAUUGCGUGGAGCGGAUCUCGGGACUUUUACUUUGAGGAAAUUAGAGUGUUCACGGCAGGCUAUCGCCAGAAUACAUUAGCAUGGAAUAAUACUAUAGGAUCUUGAUUCUAUUUUGUUGGUUUCUAGAAUUGAGAUAAUGAUUAAUAGGGACAAUUGGGGGCAUUCGUAUCAACACGUCAGAGGUGGAAUUCUUGGAUUGUGUUGCGACGAACUACUGCGAAAGCAUUUGCCAAGGAUGUUUUCAUCA
rnacentral:rRNA from 1 species